CAAUAGCGUAUAUUAAAGUUGUUGCGGUAAAAAAGCUCGUAGUUGGAUUUCUACCGAAGAUAGCCGGUCGGGUCUUCGACCUUGUAUCUGGUUUUGUCUUUGGUAUCCUCAUAGGGAACGUUUCUGCGCUUUAUUGCGUGGUGCGGUAUCUAUGACUUUUACUUUGAGGAAAUUAGAGUGUUCACGGCAGGCAAACGCCUUGAAUAUACUAGCAUGGAAUAAUAACAUAGGAUCUUCGUCCUAUUUUGUUGGUUUCUAGGGCUAAGAUAAUGAUUAAUAGGGAUAAUUGGGGGCAUCUGUAUCAACGCGUCAGAGGUGGAAUUCUUGGAUUGCGUUGCGACAAACUACUGCGAAAGCAUUUGCCAAGGAUGUUUUCAUUGA
rnacentral:rRNA from 1 species